rnacentral:rRNA from 1 species
ACACGAAGUGAGUGGCGAACGGGUGAGUAACACGUGGGUAACCUGCCCAGAAGUAGGGGAUAACACCUGGAAACAGAUGCUAAUACCGUAUAACAGAGAAAACCGCAUGGUUUUCUUUUAAAAGAUGGCUCUGCUAUCACUUCUGGAUGGACCCGCGGCGUAUUAGCUAGUUGGUGAGGUAAAGGCUCACCAAGGCAGUGAUACGUAGCCGACCUGAGAGGGUAAUCGGCCACAUUGGGACUGAACACGGCCCAACUCCUACGGGAGGCAGCAGUAGG